rnacentral:rRNA from 1 species
UACAGAGGUCUCAAGCGUUGUUCGGAUUCAUUGGGCGUAAAGGGUGCGUAGGCGGCGCGGUAAGUCGGGUGUGAAAUCUUGGAGCUUAACUCCGAAACUGCAUUCGAUACUGCCGUGCUUGAGGACUGGAGAGGAGACUGGAAUUCAUGGUGUAGCAGUGAAAUGCGUAGAGAUCAUGAGGAAGACCAGUGGCGAAGGCGGGUUGCUGGGCUGACACUGACGCUGAGGCGCGAAAGCCAGGGGAGCAAACGGG